UACGUACUGGGCGAACGUUAUUCGGAAUCACUGGGCUUAAAGGGUGCGUAGGCGGCUCUCCAGGUCUGGUGUGAAAUCUCUCGGCUCAACCGAGAAAUGGCGCUGGAAACCGGAUGGCUUGAGUGUGCUAGGGGUGUGUGGAACUUCCGGUGGAGCGGUGAAAUGUGUUGAUAUAGGAAGGAACGCCGGUGGCGAAAGCGACACACUGGGGCAUAACUGACGCUGAGGCACGAAAGCUAGGGUAGCGAACGGG
rnacentral:misc_RNA from 1 species